GGGACGAACGCUGGCGGCGCGCUUAACACAUGCAAGUCGAGCGGAAAGGCCCUUCGGGGUACUCGAGCGGCGAACGGGUGAGUAACACGUGAGUAAUCUGCCCCUAGCUCUGGGAUAGCUCCGGGAAACCGGGAUUAAUACCAGAUACGACCACUUUAGACAUCUGCUGUGGUGGAAAGAAUUUCGGCUAGGGAUGAGCUCGCGGCCUAUCAGCUUGUUGGUGAGGUAACGGCUCACCAAGGCGACGACGGGUA
rnacentral:rRNA from 1 species